rnacentral:rRNA from 1 species
UACGGGGGGGGCAAGCGUUGUUCGGAAUUACUGGGCGUAAAGGGUUUGUAGGUGGCCAACUAAGUCAGACGUGAAAUCCCUCAGCUUAACUGGGGAACUGCGUCUGAGACUGGAUGGCUUGAAUCCGGGAGAGGGAUGCGGAAUUCCAGGUGUAGCGGUGAAAUGCGUAGAUAUCUGGAGGAACACCGGUGGCGAAGGCGGCAUCCUGGACCGGCAUUGACGCUGAGGAGCGAAAGCCAGGGGAGCAAACGGG